rnacentral:rRNA from 1 species
AGAGUUUGAUCCUGGCUCAGAACGAACGCUGGCGGCAGGCUUAACACAUGCAAGUCGAACGAGAAGCCAGGCUUCGGCCUGGUGGAAAGUGGCAGACGGGUGAGGAACACGUGGGAAUCUGCCCAGUGGUACGGAAUAACUUCGGGAAACCGGAGCUAAUGCCGUAUACGCCCUUCGGGGGAAAGAUUUAUCGCCAUUGGAUGAGCCCGCGUCGGAUUAGCUUGUUGGUAGGGUAACGGCCUACCAAGGCGACGAUCCGUAGCUGGUCUGAGAGGAUGAUCAGCCACACUGGGACUGAGACACGGCCCAGACUCCUACGGGAGGCAGCAGUGGGGAAUAUUGCACAAUGGGCGCAAGCCUGAUGCAGCCAUGCCGCGUGAGUGAAGAAGGCCUUAGGGUUGUAAAACUCUUUCACCGGUGAAGAUAAUGACGGUAGCCGGAGAAGAAGCCCCGGCCAACUCCGUGCCAGCAGCCGCGGUAAUACGGAGGGGGCUAGCGUUGUUCGGAAUUACUGGGCGUAAAGCGCACGUAGGCGGAUUGGUAAGUUGGGGGUGAAAUCCCAAGGCUCAACCUUGGAACUGCCCUCGAAACUGCCAGUCUUGAGUCCGGAAGAGGUGAGUGGAAUUCCUAGUGUAGAGGUGAAAUUCGUAGAUAUUAGGAAGAACACCAGUGGCG